CAAUAGCGUAUAUUAAAGUUGUUGCAGUUAAAAAGCUCGUAGUUGAAUUUCGGAACCUCGUUCCCGUCUCUUGAUUGAGGCGGUGCGGGUUUCCUCCUCGCCUUUGGCGUCAUUUACUGUGAAAAAAUUAGAGUGUUCAAAGCAGGCAAUCGCUUGAAUACAUUAGCAUGGAAUAAUAAGAUAGGACCUUGGUACUAUUUUGUUGGUUUGCGCACCGAGGUAAUGAUUAACAGGGACAGUUGGGGGUAUUCGUAUUCCAUUGUCAGAGGUGAAAUUCUUGGAUUUCUGGAAGACGAACUACUGCGAAAGCAUUUACCAAGGAUGUUUNCAUUAA
rnacentral:rRNA from 1 species